AUGCCACCCGCGCCGGCGACGGCUACGGCGGCGGCGGCGGCGCAGCACCUGGAGUCCGUCCUCCCUUGCCUGACCACGCUCUCACACUACAAGCAGUUCCACGCGCAGCUCAUCACCUCGGCCCGCCUCUACUUCGAGCCCUCCCUCCGAGCCCGCUUCCUCGACCGCCUCGCGCUCUCCGCGCACGCCGCGGCGCUGCCGCACGCCCUCCUCCUCCUCCGCUCCCUCCCGUCCCCCGCCACUAACGACCUCAACGCCGCCCUCCGGGGCCUCGCCGCCUCCCCGCACCCCGCGCGCUCGCUGCUCCUCCUCGCCGGCCGCCUCCUCCCCUCGCCGUCCCCGCCGCGGCCCCGCCUCGACGCGCUCUCCCUCUCCUUCGCGCUGAAGGCCUCCGCCCGGUGCUCGGACGGCCCCGCCACCCUCCAGCUCCACGCGCUCGUCCUCCGCCUCGGCUGCACGGCUGACGUGCGGCUGAUCACCACGCUGGUCGACUCGUAUGCGAAAUGCGACGACCUCGCGUCCGCACGGAAGGUGUUCGAUGAAAUGACCGUGCGCGACGUGGCCUCGUGGAAUGCGCUGCUUGCUGGGCUGGCUCAGGGGACUGAGCCUACCCUGGCCCUGAAGCUGUUCCACAGACUGGUAGGGAGCUUCCGGGAGUUGCCACCAAGGGAGGCACCCAAUGAGGUGACCAUGGUUGCCGCGCUUUCUGCGUGUGCACAGAUUGGCUCGUUACGGGACGGAUUGUAUGUGCAUGAGUUUGUUCGCAAAAUGGGCGUCAGUGGCAAUGUUCGUGUUUGCAAUGCACUUAUUGACAUGUACUCCAAGUGCGGUUCAUUGGCCCGGGCGCUGGAAGUGUUCCACUCCAUCAAACGAGAAGACCGGACACUUGUGUCAUACAAUACUGCGAUACAAGCAAUUUCCAUGCAUGGGCAUGGGGGUGAUGCACUCAAGUUGUUUGAUGAAAUGCCGACAUGUAUUGAGCCGGACGAAGUGACCUACAUCGCUGUGUUGUGCGGAUGCAACCAUGCUGGGCUCGUGGAUGACGGCCUCAGGGUUUUUCAUGGCAUGAGGGUUCCUCCUAAUGUAAAGCACUAUGGCACUGUUGUGGACCUUCUUGGCCGUGCAGGCCGCCUUGCCGAGGCAUAUGAUACUAUUAAGUCCAUGCCGUUUCCUGCAGAUAUUGUCCUCUGGCAGACAUUACUGGGUGCGUCCAAGACGCAUGGUGAUGUUGAGCUCGCGGAGUUAGCUGCUACAAAGCUUGCCAAGCUUGGUUCAAAUGUUGAUGGUGACUAUGUGCUCCUCUCCAAUGUAUAUGCGUCCAAGGCACGGUGGGCAGAUGUUGGUCGAGUCCGUGAUACCAUGCGAAGCAAUGAUGUGCGGAAAGUACCUGGCUUCAGCUACACAGAGAUAAGUGGUGUAAUGCAUAAGUUCAUUAAUGGUGAUAAAGAGCACCCAAGGUUGCAGGAGAUUUACAGAGCGCUAGAGGAAAUUAUGUCAAGAAUAGGAGAGCUGGGAUAUGAGCCGGAAACAAGCAAUGUGCUUCAUGACAUCGGGGAGGAGGAGAAGCAGUAUGCAUUGUCCUAUCAUAGCGAAAAAUUGGCCAUUGCAUUUGGGUUGAUUGCCACGCCACCUGGGGAGACCCUGCGGGUGAUAAAAAAUCUCCGAAUCUGUGGGGACUGUCAUGUAGUGGCAAAGCUCAUAUCUAAAGCCUAUGGCCGAGUGAUUAUCAUCCGGGAUAGAGCAAGAUUCCAUCGGUUUGAAGAUGGGCAGUGCUCUUGCAGCGAUUACUGGUAA
rnacentral:rRNA from 1 species